CAUAGAUACCCACUCAAAGCAGCACCUCAUUUUUUCCUGAUGAAGUAUUUCCAUGCUGGUGAUGUCUUUCCAUUUUCCUCAUCUUCUCCAUCUCAGUUCAGUUCUCAUGUAGGGCAYGACCAAAGGCUAUAGCAAGUGUUUUAGACAAAUCUGGAUGGUUUGGCUCUGCUUCAUCCCCCUCAUCCAGGAAUAGCUUAGCACAAAAGUUGCCAGAUAAGCCUUGCAGAAUCCAUAUUUGGUUUUUUGUGUAUUGUUACAGCACUAGCAGACUGGAGACAUGGGAAAGAGAAAACCUCAMAAUAUGCUAAUAUGCAAAAAAAGUAUUUUGAGAUGCAAAAUUAUGCCUGUUAAGUGUUAAAAUCAGCCAACACCACUCUUCAGCCAGCGCAGUCAUGAUUACUGCAAUUCUCCWUCAGUGAAGAUGGAAAUGUCUGUCCACAGAGUUCAGCAAUGACCACAGCAGCUGGAAGCAAUGGUUCAGCGUUCAAAAUCCCAGUUUGUCUGAAGGAGACACACGGAGRUGUUGUGGUUUCCAGACAAUGCAAUUCUCGAAGGCAGUCCCUAGAUGUCACUGAACACCACGGCUGGUUUAAAUGCAAACCAAGACAUCAGGCAAAUCUUUCUCAUGCUGGAA